GCUCAGUUGGUAGAGCAUGGUGUUUGCAACACCAGGGUUGUGGGUUCGAUUCCCAC
rfam:Salmo salar isolate Sally breed double haploid chromosome ssa16, whole genome shotgun sequence.